rnacentral:rRNA from 1 species
GGAUUAGGCAUGCAAGUCGAACGAGGAUAUAUCCUUCGGGAUAUAAGCCGAGUGGCGCAAGGGUGAGUAAUGCAUAGAUUACCUGCCUCUAGGAUAAGGACAACUUUGUGAAAACGAAGCUAAUACUUAAUAAUACAAAAGAAAAUAAUUUUUUUUGUCAAUGGGAGGGUAGCAAUACCUUUUGCCUAGAGAGGGGUUUAUGUCCUAUCAGCUUGUUGGUGGGGUAAUGGCCUACCAAGGCGAAGACGGGUAGCCGGUCUUAGAGGAUGGUCGGCCACACUGGGACUGAGACACUGCCCAGACUUCUACGGAAGGCUGCAGUCGAGAAUCUUUCGCAAUGCCCGAAAGGGUGACGAAGCGACGCCGCGUGAGUGAGGAAGGCCUUAGGGUUGUAAAGCUCUGUCAGGAGUUAAGAAAUAUAAGUGUGCUAAUACCACAUUUAUUUGACGAAGGCUCCAAAGGAAGCCACGGCUAACUCUGUGCCAGCAGCCGCGGUAAUACAGAGGUGGCAAGCGUUGUUCGGAAUUAUUGGGCGUAAAGAGCACGUAGGUGGGUUUGUAAGUCAGAUGUGAAAGCCUUCUGUUCAACGGAAGAAUUGCAUCUGAAACUGCAAGUCUUGAGUGUAGGAGRKGAGAAUGGAACUUCUGGUGGAGCGGUGAAAUGCGUAGAUAUCAGAAGGAACGCCGGCGGCGAAAGCGAUUCUCUGGCCUAUUACUGACACUCAGUGUGCGAAAGCUAGGGGAGCAAACGGGAUUAGAUACCCCGGUAGUCCUAGCCGUAAACGAUGGGCACUAAGUAGAGGGAAUUACCGAUGUUCUCUCUGCCGUAGCUAACGCAUUAAGUGCCCCGCCUGGGGAGUACGGCCGCAAGGCUAAAACUCAAAAGAAUUGACGGGGGCUCGCACAAGCGGUGGAGCAUGUGGCUUAAUUCGAUGCAACGCGAAAAACCUUACCGGGGCUUGACAUGGUAGAAGUAGGAACCCGAAAGGGUAACGAACGGUAUCCAGUCCGUAGCUAUCACAGGUGUUGCAUGGCUGUCGUCAGCUCGUGUCGUGAGACGUUGGGUUAAGUCCCCUAACGAGCGAAACCCUUGUUUUUAGUUACCAGCGGGUUAUGCCGGGUACUCUAGAAAGACUGCCGUCGUCAAGACGGAGGAAGGUGGGGAUGACGUCAAGUCAUCAUGGCCCUUAUGCCCCGGGCUGCACACGUGCUACAAUGGUCGGUACAAACGGAAGCGAAGCCGAGAGGUGAAGCGAAUCCUAAAAAGCCGAUCUCAGUUCGGAUUGGAGGCUGAAAUUCGCCUCCAUGAAGUUGGAAUCGCUAGUAAUCGCGGAUCAGCAAUGCCGCGGUGAAUAUGUUCCCGAGCCUUGUACACACCGCCCGU